rnacentral:tmRNA from 1 species
GGGGACGAAAUGGCUUCGACGGGGAUUCGGAACCCGAGGUAGCAAGCCGUUGAUGAGUCAGGCAACGUAAAAAUGGCUCAAAAAAAUUAAAUGCUAACGAAAACAAUUUAGCACUGGCAGCGUAAAUUACGCUACCCACGGAACUAAGAGGACCACGGCUUAGGGAAGUGUCAAAUCAGUGGUGAAACGUCGUCGGUCAAGCUUUGCCCCGAUGCCGGAAUCUAUGAAGCUACCUUUUAGCGGCCUUUUGUUUUUCUUUUCGCUCUAAGGGAAAUUUAAAGAAAAACUGAGCUUGGAGAAACCUCGGUGGAAGAGUUCUCGGACGCGGGUUCGACCCCCGCCGUCUCCACCA